GAUGAAGGCCUAACGGUUGUAAACUUCUUUUCUGAAGGAGCAUAAUGAGAGUACUUCAGGAAUAAGGGACGGCUAAAUACGUGCCAGCAGCCGCGGUAAUACGUAUGUCUCAAGCGUUACCCGGGAAUUACUGGGUGUAAAGGGUUCGUAGGUGGUUAGAAAAGUUGGAUAUGAAAGACCGGAGCUCAACUCCGUGUUGGUGUUCAAAACUGUUUAACUAGAAUCAGGGAGAGGUAAGUGGAAUUCUGUGUGUAGGGGUGCAAUCCGUAGAUACACAGAGGAACACCAAAAGCGAAGGCAACUUACUGGAACUGUAUUGACGCUCAUGAACGAAAGCGUGGGUAGCGAAAAGGAUUAGAUACCCUUGUAGUCCACGCCCUAAACGAUGAUAACUAAGUGUUGCGACUAGCUCGCAGUGCUGAAGCUAACGCGUUAAGUUAUCCACCUGAGGAGUACGGUCGCAAGAUUAAAACUCAAAGGAAUAGACGGGGACCCACACAAGCAGUGGAUCACGUGGUUUAAUUCGACAAUAAACGGGGAACCUUACCCAGACUUGACAUCCUAGGAAUCUUUCAGAGAUGAGAGAGUGCUUUUAUUAGAACCUAGUGACAGGUGCUGCAUGGUUGUCGUCAGCUCGUGCCUUGAGGUGUUCGGUUAAGUCCGUUAACGAGCGCAACCCAUGUCUUUAGUUAUUAUGUCUAAAGAGACUGCCUUGGUUAACAAGGAGGAAGGUGUGGAUGACGUCAAAUCAGCAUGGCUUUUACGUCUGGGGCUACACACAUGAUACAAUGGUAUGUACAAAGAGUAGCAAAAUAGUGAUAUUGAGCUAAUCUUAAAAGCAUAUCUCAGUCCGGAUUGGAGUCUGAAACUCGACUCCAUGAAGUUGGAAUUGCUAGUAAUCGUGAAUCAGAUAUGUCACGGUGAAUAUGUUCCUGGGUCUUGUACUCACCGCCCGUCAUGGCAUGGGAGGAAGUAAUAUUGGAAGCCCCUCUAGUAAUAUGAGGGUCCAUAGUAGGACUUCUGACUGGGCUAAAGUCGUAACAAGGUAUCCGUAGGAGAACCUGCGGAUG
rnacentral:rRNA from 1 species